UACGUAGGGUGCAAGCGUUGUCCGGAAUUAUUGGGCGCAAAGAGCUCGUAGGCGGUGUGUCGCGUCGGCCGUGAAAACCUGGGGCUUAACUCUGGGCGUGCGGUCGAUACGGGCAUCACUGGAGUUCGGCAGGGGAGACUGGAAUUCCUGGUGUAGCGGUGAAAUGCGCAGAUAUCAGGAGGAACACCGGUGGCGAAGGCGGGUCUCUGGGCCGAUACUGACGCUGAGGAGCGAAAGCAUGGGUAGCGAACAGG
rnacentral:rRNA from 1 species